rnacentral:rRNA from 1 species
GACGGAGGAUGCAAGUGUUAUCCGGAAUCACUGGGCGUAAAGCGUCUGUAGGUGGUUUAAAAAGUCUACUGUUAAAACUUGAAGCUUAACUUCAAAAAUGCCGUAGAAACUUUUAAACUUGAGUAUGGUAGGGGUAGAGGGAAUUUCCAGUGGAGCGGUGAAAUGCGUAGAUCUUGGAAAGACCACCAAUGGCGAAGGCACUCUACUGGGCCAUAACUGACACUAAGAGACGAAAAGCUAGGGGAGCAAAUGGG